UACGUAGGGUGCGAGCGUUAAUCGGAAUUACUGGGCGUAAAGCGUGCGUAGGCGGUUCGUUAAGUCAGCUGUGAAAGCCCCGGGCUCAACCUGGGAAUUGCGGUUGAAACUGGCGAACUAGAAUCUGGCAGAGGCGAGUGGAAUUCCGGGUGUAGUGGUGAAAUGCGUAGAGAUCCGGAGGAACACCAGUGGCGAAGGCGGCUCGCUGGGCUUUACCUGACGCUGAGGCGCGAAAGCGUGGGGGAGCGAACCGGA
rnacentral:rRNA from 1 species